UGUUAGAACGUUAGCGGCUCAGCUUUUUGGCUAAUGCGGAAUGUUAUGUAGUCCUUGUCAGUUAGAAUCGGUGGUCAGGAAGAGUUGAUUGAGAAACAAGUGUGGUAGCGGCUGGAAGUUUAACUUUGGAACGUUGUACUAACCUGAAUUUGCGCCGCAUAUCACCUUCUGAAAGCAGGGACUCGGAGUUUCCUUUCGCGAACGUUACAGUUGCUGUGACGAGGAGUGAGAGAGGACGUGGCUUGCUUUUGUUGGAGGCAGUCUGGAACUGACAGAUAAUCAAGUGCUGUUCUCGCGUUCCAUUCACGCAUACCCACCUGUCUGCAACCUUAUGUGGCUUCUCAAUACGUUAACUGAGCCAUUGCUAAAGGAGAAGUACGUAAAUGAGAAUACACAAUUCAUUAUCUUCACUGCCUCCAACGCCGUCUGACACGAUGGAUCUCUCUGGAAUUCUACCGAUCAGCUCUUUACUGGGCUUUCAUUUCAUCUCCACAAUGUCCACUCAUCUUCAGCUGCCCGUCUCGUGAUUUUCAUCCUAAUGAUCAGGAAUCGGAGGAUAUUAUAAUAUGAUGGGGAGACGUCAAGACGCUGUGCAACAGCACGUAUUGGAAGCCCACUUUCUCGUAGAGCGACGAUCUGCGCCAGGAGAACCAUAUGUUGUCUGUUCAUUUGGAGACUAUAACGAAUACUACUAGCAGAGGACAGGUAACCUAUCAAAAUUUAUACAACACCUCAGUCUAGCCAUGAUUGGGUGACAAACUUGUUAGCGUGUAAUAGGGGUGCUGUAGCCGUGAUAUCGUUAUCACUGAACAAAGUGAUAUAUUAAAUCACACGAUUACUGGGACUGAGUGAUUGAUUGGCUGUUACUGGCAUUGCAACAUCUCAGGACAUUACUGUCAUUGAUAACGUUUAAAAUUCUGUAUGUCUUCAUAAUGAUAAAUUGUUAAUUGUCUGUUUGAAACAC